CCUACGGGAGGCAGCAGUGGGGAAUAUUGGGCAAUGGAGGCAACUCUGACCCAGCAACGCCGCGUGAGUGAUGAAGGUCUUCGGAUUGGUAAACUCUUUAAGUGGGGGCGAAGAGAGUGACUGUACCCACAGAAUGAGCCUAGGCUAACUACGUGCCAGCAGCCGCGGUAAUACGGAGGAGGCAAGCGUUAUCCGGAAUGACUGGGUGUAAAGGGUGCGUAGGUGGCUUGGCAAGUUAGUAGCGUAAUUCCGGGGCUCAACUUCGGAACUACUACUAAAACUGGUGGGCUUGAGUGCAGGGGGGGCAUACGGAAUUCCUGGUGUAGCGGUGGAAUGCGUAGAUAUUAGGAAGAACACCAGUGGCGAAGGCGAUAUGCUGGACUGUAACUGACACUGAGGCACGAAAGCGUGGGGAGCAAACAGGAUUAGAUACCCGAGUAGUC
rnacentral:rRNA from 1 species